GUGAGAAAUGAUGUAGUUGAUACCGCCCCAGUCUGAUUAUGAACUGACUGACUGGUACACCUCUGAUCUCUG